rnacentral:rRNA from 1 species
AGUGAACGCUGGCGGUAGGCCUAACACAUGCAAGUCGAACGGCAGCACAGUAAGAGCUUGCUCUUACGGGUGGCGAGUGGCGGACGGGUGAGGAAUACAUCGGAAUCUACUUUUUCGUGGGGGAUAACGUAGGGAAACUUACGCUAAUACCGCAUACGACCUACGGGUGAAAGCAGGGGAUCUUCGGACCUUGCGCGAUUGAAUGAGCCGAUGUCGGAUUAGCUAGUUGGCGGGGUAAAGGCCCACCAAGGCGACGAUCCGUAGCUGGUCUGAGAGGAUGAUCGGCCACACUGGAACUGAGACACGGUCCAGACUCCUACGGGAGGCAGCAGUGGGGAAUAUUGGGCAAUGGGCGCAAGCCUGAUCCAGCCAUACCGCGUGGGUGAAGAAGGCCUUCGGGUUGUAAAGCCCUUUUUUUGGGAAAGAAAAGCAGCAGGUUAAUACCCCGCUGUUCUGACGGUACCCAAAGAAUAAGCACCGGCUAACUUCGUG